rnacentral:rRNA from 1 species
ACGCUGGCGGCGUGCCUAAUACAUGCAAGUAGAACGCUGAAGGAGGAGCUUGCUUCUCCGGAUGAGUUGCGAACGGGUGAGUAACGCGUAGGUAACCUGCCUGGUAGCGGGGGAUAACUAUUGGAAACGAUAGCUAAUACCGCAUAAGAGUAGAUGUUGCAUGACAUUUGCUUAAAAGGUGCAAUUGCAUCACUACCAGAUGGACCUGCGUUGUAUUAGCUAGUUGGUGGGGUAACGGCUCACCAAGGCGACGAUACAUAGCCGACCUGAGAGGGUGAUCGGCCACACUGGGACUGAGACACGGCCCAGACUCCUACGGGAGGCAGCAGUAGGGAAUCUUCGGCAAUGGACGGAAGUCUGACCGAGCAACGCCGCGUGAGUGAAGAAGGUUUUCGGAUCGUAAAGCUCUGUUGUAAGAGAAGAGCGAGUGUGAGAGUGGAAAGUUCACACUGUGACGGUAUCUUACCAGAAAGGGACGGCUAACUACGUGCCAGCAGCCGCGGUAAUACGUAGGUCCCGAGCGUUGUCCGGAUUUAUUGGGCGUAAAGCGAGCGCAGGCGGUUAGAUAAGUCUGAAGUUAAAGGCUAUGGCUUAACCAUAGUACGCUUUGGAAACUGCUUAACUUGAGUGCAAGAGGGGAGAGUGGAAUUCCAUGUGUAGCGGUGAAAUGCGUAGAUAUAUGGAGGAACACCGGUGGCGAAAGCGGCUCUCUGGCUUGUAACUGACGCUGAGGCUCGAAAGCGUGGGGAGCAAACAGGAUUAGAUACCCCGGUAGUCCACGCCGUAAACGAUGAGUGCUAGGUGUUAGACCCUUUCCGGGGUUUAGUGCCGCAGCUAACGCAUUAAGCACUCCGCCUGGGGAGUACGACCGCAAGGUUGAAACUCAAAGGAAUUGACGGGGGCCCGCACAAGCGG